rnacentral:rRNA from 1 species
CGAACGGUGAACACGGAGCUUGCUCUGUGGGAUCAGUGGCGAACGGGUGAGUAACACGUGAGCAACCUGCCCCUGACUCUGGGAUAAGCGCUGGAAACGGCGUCUAAUACUGGAUAUGUGACGUGACCGCAUGGUCUGCGUUUGGAAAGAUUUUUCGGUUGGGGAUGGGCUCGCGGCCUAUCAGCUUGUUGGUGAGGUAAUGGCUCACCAAGGCGUCGACGGGUAGCCGGCCUGAGAGGGUGACCGGCCACACUGGGACUGAGACACGGCCCAGACUCCUACGGGAGGCAGCAGUGGGGAAUAUUGCACAAUGGGCGCAAGCCUGAUGCAGCAACGCCGCGUGAGGGAUGACGGCCUUCGGGUUGUAAACCUCUUUUAGCAGGGAAGAAGCGAAAGUGACGGUACCUGCAGAAAAAGCGCCGGCUAACUACGUGCCAGCAGCCGCGGUAAUACGUAGGGCGCAAGCGUUAUCCGGAAUUAUUGGGCGUAAAGAGCUCGUAGGCGGUUUGUCGCGUCUGCUGUGAAAUCCCGAGGCUCAACCUCGGGCCUGCAGUGGGUACGGGCAGACUAGAGUGCGGUAGGGGAGAUUGGAAUUCCUGGUGUAGCGGUGGAAUGCGCAGAUAUCAGGAGGAACACCGAUGGCGAAGGCAGAUCUCUGGGCCGUAACUGACGCUGAGGAGCGAAAGGGUGGGGAGCAAACAGGCUUAGAUACCCUGGUAGUCCACCCCGUAAACGUUGGGAACUAGUUGUGGGGUCCAUUCCACGGAUUCCGUGACGCAGCUAACGCAUUAAGUUCCCCGCCUGGGGAGUAC